AUAUCACCUGGCAGGGAAGACACAGUGGUCAGAAAGGUUUUCCCAGGGUGAGGCUCAUCUAGUACACUCUGGUUGUGCUGAUUCUGCAAUCUCUCCAAAUGCAGCAANCUCAACUGCGUAAUUUGUGGUGGUGGGGGACGGUGUUCCUGCUCUUCUCUA
rnacentral:snRNA from 11 species